rnacentral:rRNA from 1 species
GCAAGUCGAGGGGUAACAUAGUAGCUUGCUACUGAUGACGACCGGCGCACGGGUGCGUAACGCGUAUACAAUCUACCUUUUGCUGCGGGAUAGCCUUUGGAAACGAAGAUUAAUACCGCAUAGUAUACAGAGUUCACAUGAGCCUUGUAUUAAAGGUUACGGCAGAAGAUGAGUAUGCGUCCUAUUAGCUAGAUGGUGUGGUAACGGCACACCAUGGCAACGAUAGGUAGGGGUCCUGAGAGGGAGAUC